rnacentral:rRNA from 1 species
UAGGGAAUCUUCCGCAAUGGACGCAAGUCUGACGGAGCAACGCCGCGUGAGUGAAGAAGGAUUUCGGUUCGUAAAACUCUGUUGUUAGAGAAGAACAGCGCAUAGAGUAACUGUUAUGCGUGUGACGGUAUCUAACCAGAAAGCCACGGCUAACUAUGUGCCAGCAGCCGCGGUAAUACGUAGGUGGCAAGCGUUGUCCGGAUUUAUUGGGCGUAAAGCGAGCGCAGGCGGUCAAUUAAGUCUGAUGUGAAAGCCCCCGGCUCAACCGGGGAGGGUCAUUGGAAACUGGUUGACUUGAGUGCAGAAGAGGAGAGUGGAAUUCCAUGUGUAGCGGUGAAAUGCGUAGAUAUAUGGAGGAACACCAGUGGCGAAGGCGACUCUCUGGUCUGUAACUGACGCUGAGGCUCGAAAGCGUGGGUAGCAAACAGG